UACGGAGGUGGCGAGCGUUGUCCGAAGUUACUGGGCGUAAAGCGCGCGUAGGCGGGCUAUUAAGUGAGGGGGGAAAGGCUGAGGCUCAACCUCAUGUUGGUCCUCUCAUACUGAUAGUCUUGAGUGAGGCAGGGAGAAGUGGAAUGGCUGGUGUAGCGGUGAAAUGCGUAGAUAUCAGUCGGAACACCGGUGGCGAAGGCGGCUUCUUGGGCCUUAACUGACGCUGAGGCGCGAAAGCGUGGGGAGCAAACAGG
rnacentral:rRNA from 1 species